GACGAACGCUGGCGGCGUGCUUAACACAUGCAAGUCGAACGGAAAGGCCCUGCUUUUGUGGGGUGCUCGAGUGGCGAACGGGUGAGUAACACGUGAGUAACCUGCCCUUGACUUUGGGAUAACUUCAGGAAACUGGGGCUAAUACCGGAUAGGAGCUCCUGCUGCAUGGUGGGGGUUGGAAAGUUUCGGCGGUUGGGGAUGGACUCGCGGCUUAUCAGCUUGUUGGUGGGGUAGUGGCUUACCAAGGCUUUGACGGGUAGCCGGCCUGAGAGGGUGACCGGCCACAUUGGGACUAAGAUACGGACCAGACUCCUACGGGGGGCAGCAGUGGGGAAUAUUGCACAAUGGGCGGAAGCCUGAUGCAGAAACGCCGCGUGCGGGAUGACGGCCUUCGGGUUGUAAACCGCUUUCGCCUGUGACGAAGCGUGAGUGACGGUAAUGGGUAAAGAAGCACCGGCUAACUACGUG
rnacentral:rRNA from 1 species